AUGAUACACAUAUUGUUACUGGUUAUGUGUUUGGUGACCAUUAUUACUGGUCACAGAGAUCAUGGUAUGCAGAGUGGGUUGAAAGAAGAUUUGGAAUUGGAGAGGCAAUUAAACAUCCUUAACAAGCCUCCUAUAAAGAGUAUUCAUACAAAGUCAGGAUAUAUAAUUGAUUGUGUUGACAUUAACAAACAACCUGCUUUUAAUCAUCCUUUGUUAAAAAAUCACAAAUUACAGAGAAAACCAAUUUUUGAAAGAAACAUUAGUGAAACUAGAGUUCAGAAUUCACGAAUCAAGUCAAAAUUCAUACUUGAAAAAGUUAGAUGUCCUGAAUAA